UACAGAGGUCUCAAGCGUUGUUCGGAUUCAUUGGGCGUAAAGGGUGCGUAGGUGGCGAGGUAAGUCGGAUGUGAAAUCCCGGGGCUCAACCCUGGAACUGCAUUCGAUACUGCCCUGCUAGAGUACUGGAGAGGAGAUUGGAAUUUACGGUGUAGCAGUGAAAUGCGUAGAUAUCGUAAGGAAGACCAGUGGCGAAGGCGGAUCUCUGGACAGUUACUGACACUGAGGCGCGAAAGCGUGGGGAGCAAACAGG
rnacentral:rRNA from 1 species